UACAGAGGGUGCGAGCGUUUAAUCGGAAUUACUGGGCGUAAAGCGCACGUAGGUGGCGACGUAAGUCGGGUGUGAAAGCCCCCGGGCUCAACCUGGGAAUUGCAUUCGAGACUGCAUUGCUGGAGUACGGAAGAGGAGGGCGGAAUUCCCGGUGUAGCGGUGAAAUGCGUAGAUAUCGGGAGGAACAUCAGUGGCGAAGGCGGCCCUCUGGUCCAGUACUGACACUCAAGUGCGAAAGCGUGGGGAGCAAACGGG
rnacentral:rRNA from 1 species